rnacentral:sRNA from 1 species
CGCCAGGCAGGGCCGGCGGGCCACGUGACAAGCCCGGAGACAGCUCCGCCCCCCGCUUCCUGAGCCUCCACAUCCCGGCCGCCCUCCUACUUGCGCACGUGGUUCCGCCGCUGCUGCCUCCCGCUCGCCCUGAACCUAGUACCUGCAGCCAUGGCUCCCGGCCACCUCGCCUUAUUUAGUGUCUCUGACAAAACUGGCCUUGUGGAAUUUGCAAGAAACCUGACCGCUCUUGGUUUGAAUCUGGUCGCUUCCGGAGGGACUGCAAAAGCUCUCAGGGAUGCUGGUCUGGCAGUCAGAGAUGUCUCUGAGUUGACAGGAUUUCCCGAAAUGUUGGGGGGACGUGUGAAAACUUUGCAUCCUGCAGUCCAUGCUGGAAUCCUGGCUCGUAAUAUUCCAGAAGAUAAUGCUGACAUGGCCAGACUUGAUUUCAAUCUUAUAAGAUAGCUGUAAACCACGAGUGGACUUUUUAAUGACAGCCAGAUUUGUCUUUGUUUUAUAGAGUUGUUGCCUGCAAUCUCUAUCCCUUUGUGAAGACAGUGGCUUCUCCAGGUGUAACUGUUGAGGAGGCUGUGGAGCAAAUUGACAUUGGUGGAGUAACCUUACUGAGAGCUGCAGCCAAAAACCACGCUCGAGUGACAGUGGUGUGUGAACCAGAGGACUAUGUGGUGGUGUCCACGGAGAUGAAGAGCUCCGAGGUUAAGGACACCUCCUUGGAGACUAGACGCCAGUUAGCCUUGAAGG